rnacentral:tRNA from 1 species
GCUGAUGUUGCUCAGUGGAUAGAGCAUUGGCCUGCAGACUUAAGGAUUGCAGGUUCGAUUCCAGUCAAGAACA